rnacentral:misc_RNA from 1 species
GAUGAAGAACGUAGCGAAAUGCGAUAAGUAGUGUGAAUUGCAGAAUUCAGUGAAUCAUCGAAUCUUUGAACGCACAUUGCGCCCUUUGGCAUUCCAUAGGGCACAUCUGUUCGAGCGUCAUUUAACCCCUCAAGCCUAGCUUGGUAUUGGGUGCUUGUCCCGCCUCUCGCGCGGCGACUCACCUCAAAGUCAUUGGCAGCCCGCAUCUCGCCGGCCGUGAGCGCAGCACAGACGCGCUCUUGGCAACGACGGAUCGGCUCUCCAAAAGCUUAUUUCAACCACUGACCUCGGAUCAGGUAGGGAUACCCGCUGAACUUAAGCAUAUCAAUAAGCGGAGGA